rnacentral:rRNA from 1 species
GGUUAAGCGACUAAGCGUACACGGUGGAUGCCCUGGCAGUCAGAGGCGAUGAAGGRCGUGCUAAUCUGCGAUAAGCGCCGGUAAGGUGAUAUGAACCGUUAUAACCGGCGAUUUCCGAAUGGGGAAACCCAGUGUGACUCGUCACACUAUCAUUAACUGAAUCCAUAGGUUAAUGAGGCGAACCGGGGGAACUGAAACAUCUAAGUACCCCGAGGAAAAGAAAUCAACC